rnacentral:lncRNA from 1 species
UUAACCGCUUUCAUAUUUUGAAGAUAAUGUGCAUCACACAGCUGUUCCUAUCCAUUUAUUUGGUAGCAUGGAUCAGACUCCAUUUUUAUUUUCUCUCGUCUUCUUCCAACCUUUAGGUAUGUCUCUUUUCUUUUCCUUUUACAUAUUUUACCUCUCCCUAUUUGUUAUAUAAAUAGAGUAUUAUAUUUUGGGUUACUUCUGUAGCGUCUAAACUUUAUAAUCUGAAUGAAAGUGUUUGAAUUAAAACGUCAUAUACAGAAGAUGAGUAAAUAAAAAUAUAAUAUACAUUGGAUUCUUAUAUGAAUAGUAAGUGCAUACCAUUUAUAUUUUGCAUACUAUUGUAGGAAUAAUCUGAAUGAAAGUGUUUGAAUCGUAGAAGUAAAGGAAAAAGUUUGAAGGAAAUAGAAAAAACAUAUCAUGAUAUGUUUAUUUACUAUAUUUGACAUUUAUAUCAUGUAGAAUAUACAUUAAAAACGAUACGAAAGUGGGCUGAUAGACAUGGUAGUGUCUGUCAACACGCUAGUAUAUAUAAAUUUAAUAUAAAAAUGUAGGCAAAAAUAUAAUUUAAUUAUUAGAGUUAGAUGAGUCUACUUAAAAUUAUGUCAAUUAUCCCAUUUAAAUGUAGACAUGGUGACAUAUUUUAUGACCAUAUAGAGUAAACAUUUAAACAAACUAAUAGGUCUGACCAGACUUUUAAACAAGUCAGAUCUAGGCUAUGAAUUUUUUUUAAAUAGACUAGGAUCAAGCUCCUAUAUGCUAUAUAGGUUCGGUAUGUUUAAGACAAAAUCUGGCCUAAGCUAUUUUUACCCUUACCCAUCAAAAGGGUAACGACUAUCAACUACUAACAUUGCACAUCAUUUGACUACCAUUGCCCAUUAGUUGGCCAAUCAGGCUCAAAAUCAAUCAAGGUUCAUAUUCCACCAUUCAAGUCCAACCAAAAAGUUUUGAACCAACAAGUUCUAAGACCAUAAUCCAAAUGGCCUAAGACUAAUCCAAGAUCUGAACUAAAAUAUGAGAUCCACCAAGGUCCAAGUUCUUGUGUGUAAGGAAAGACUUCCAUAAAUGACAUCAAGGAUCCAUCAUAGGUUUAGAUAAGUCUGUCAAUACUCAAUAUUGACUUAUUGAUAGGAUAGGAGCAUGACCUUAACAAUAAUAUCAUUGGACCCUCAUUUGGAGCAAAGCAAGUAUAUCAUAUUUAUAUAAUUUUUAGGAUUAUAAGAAUUUUAUGUGUAUAUUAUAUGUAGUUAUAUUACUUUUAGGUGGACAUGCUUAACUUGUGUAUUUGAUUGGAUUGUAAGACUUUUUUUAUUUUAAAUAUAAUUGAUGUGUAUAGAUAUUUACUUUUCCAUUUUAUAUUUAAAUUAUGAUUUGAUCAAUUGUUUUAAAAAUAUAUAAAUUAAUUUUGACAUCAUUACUCACUAAAACAUUUUAUAAUAGAACCAUGCUAUGGGUGUAGGCAGUGGCGGAUCUUGAUCUAAUAUUUAAAGGGGAAACAAUAUUUAAUUAAAAUUAAUUGUGUAACAAUGAUAUAUAAAGAAAAAUAUAUAUUUGUUUCAAAGUGUCAAAAUAACAUAUUAAUUCUAAAUAACGUUAGUUAACAACUAAAUGUGUAAAAUAAAAAUGUACAUUCAUUUAAAGUAUCGAAGUUCGUUCUUUUAAAGAAUUAUACUCAUCGCUCAUUGAAUUAGAGGUAAAAGAUCAUGUUAUUUUCUUUUCAAUAUAAAUCAUUAUCGUGUCUCUAAGAAAUUAUCUUCUAUCUGACUAUGUAGUCUUGUUUCGAUUGUUUUCAUUGCUAAAAAUGAUAUUUUUGUAGUUGUUGUAGAAAUCAGUAAGAUAAACAAAUCAAUCAAACAAGUAUUAUGAAUUCACUUUUUUUUUGUAAAAUCUACACUUAAUUUAGUGAUGUUCUUCGAUUCGAAUGCCCGACGACAUCAAAAAGAAAAUGUUGAUGUUGAUAUCUCUAACUAAUAUUCUCUUCCUCAUCGAAAUUUAUAGGUUCUACUUGUAAACAAAGAUAAAUAUAUUAUCAAUAUUAAAUGUUUUAUAGGCAUUGUUAGGAUUCGAACUAAUAUUGAGAGGUAAAAUAAAUAUUUUAAUGAAGAGAAAAAUGUAUACAACUCAAUAAGAAUGAUAUAUUGUCGCUGUAUAAAUAUUUAUACUGAUAAUAUAUAAAUAUUAUAAUCUUUAAUAAAUAAGUUAAACUAAAUAUUUUAAAGAAAAACUAAAAAGUUCAAGGGGGUAGCUGCCCCACCUGCUCUUAGCAUCAUCUGCCACAAGGUGUAGGGCUAUGGUUAUAGGUUUGAGUCUUUCACUAUCACUAAGACUUCUAUUAAUAGAAUAAAAUUGUGAGUAUAAGAAAAACUUGAUACAUUGAUAACACCUAUAAUGAUGGACAAAAUCUAUUAAUAGAAUAAAAUUAUUUGAAGGUAUAGUUUAAAGUCUUCUAUCAAUGAUCUCGGCUAUCAUCACUCAAACCUAUACUGACAUGACAAAAUCGUAGAUGUAGUAACUUAAAUAUGACGGACACAAACAUCCAUGGGUAAAAGUUUUUUUUGUUUUUAUACCUAUGAUUAUUUUCUUUCACCAACGACUUUUGACUCUAACUAAAUUAAUUUUUUUUGUAGUGUGAGCAUGAAGUACAUUAUAUUUGUCAUCUUUGUGAGUUUUCUCUACCUUACUCUCUCUAUCAUAUAUUUGUCAUAUGUAAAUAUUGACUAAGUGACUAUAAUACUCACACAAGGUAGUCCAAGGUUGGUCUUCAGUCAAGUUCAACACUAUUCCAACACUUGCAGGCCAGUUUUCAAUCCUAUUCAGUUCAAAGUCAUUAUUGUCAUGUCAUCCCUCCUCCACCAAACUCAAAGAACA